AUACGUAGGGUGCGAGCGUUAAUCGGAAUUACUGGGCGUAAAGCGUGCGCAGGCGGUUUUGUAAGACAGUGGUGAAAUCCCCGGGCUCAACCUGGGAACUGCCAUUGUGACUGCAAGGCUGGAGUGCGGCAGGAGGGGGAUGGAAUUCCGCGUGUAGCAGUGAGAUGCGUAGAUAUGCGGAGGAACACCGAUGGCGAAGGCAACUCCCCGUGGGCCUGCACUGACGCUCAUGCACGAAAGC
rnacentral:rRNA from 1 species